UUGAUUACUUUGAAAAUUUGA
rnacentral:piRNA from 1 species